rnacentral:rRNA from 1 species
UACGUAGGGGGCUAGCGUUGUCCGGAUUUAUUGGGCGUAAAGAGCGUGUAGGCGGCCAUGUAGGUCCGGUGUGAAAACUCGAGGCUUAACCUCGAGAUGUCAUCGGAAACCAUUUGGCUAGAGUCCGGAAGAGGAGAGUGGAAUUCCUGGUGUAGCGGUGAAAUGCGCAGAUAUCAGGAAGAACACCCGUGGCGAAGGCGGCUCUCUGGGACGGUACUGACGCUGAGACGCGAAAGCGUGGGGAGCAAACAGG